CGUCCGCAGACAGCAUGGGGGGGCUGCUCCGCUCCGGAUCUGCGAGAGGUGAAGAAACUGAGGCUCAGGAAGGAGUGACUUGUCCAAGGUCAGAGUUGAUAAGUGGAAGAGGCUGAUCUCAACUGCCGGGGUGCUUAGCCCAUUAGCCCAUGUCCUUCUUCUUUCCCCUACACUCUGUUGCCCCUGAGGAAGAUGCUGAUUCUGCCACCAGGUCAUCUGUCUGUCGUCUCUUCCCCCACAAAACAGUCAGCAGCAGUGAGCUCACAGGACAGUUGUGAGGAUGAAAUGAACUAACACUUGUACAAUGCACAACCCAGCAUCUGGCUCCCAGGAAGCACCCAAUAAAUACUGGCCAUCAGUGUUUUCAUUAUUACCAGUGAUGAUUUUUUUUCUCAAAACUCAGCAAUGACUAAAUGAGCCCCAUCCCCUGAAAGCCCACAGAGGGAGCACAGGUCUCUUCUAACCAAAACCAGAGUCAACAGUGAGGGGCUGACCCCGGUGUCCACUACCAUGGUAGCCUCCUCCCGACUCCCACCCCCUACACCCUCACUAGGCAUUGCAAUACUCCUUCAUAGCACUUUUCCAAAACCCA
rnacentral:lncRNA from 1 species